rnacentral:misc_RNA from 1 species
GUAGCCAAUAAGGUUGAGCGGUGUAGGAUCGGUAGACUCGAAACCACCAGACUUGAUUCACGCUGAACCAAAGAUAGGGCCACACCCAGAGAGAAAAACCACAAACCGCAGAACGAAGAAAUUCUAUUAUCCAAACUGUUGGGCCUAAUAAACGACAACAUUAUUAUUAUUAUUUUUCCCCUCAUUUAAUUAACUUUUGAAACGUGGAG